AUAACUAAUUAUUAUUUGAUAUAAGAAUAAACAAAAAAUUAAAUUAAGAUUAAAAAUUGCUAAUGAUGACAUCGAAAAAAAAAAAGCUAGUGAUGCAGUUAGAUCACUAUCACUAAUCACGUGGUUCAAACUCUAACAUUAACAUUAUGCUGCCUUUCUCUUCCCUAAUUCAAUAGUACUGCCUAGAUUGCCUACUCACCGGUCACCACCGUAGAACGUAGUCUGCUCCGGUCAGCGGUCACCGUUCGCCUCUCACCAUCGCCAAUCUCUGCGCCUCUGUUACUUCCUCUUCAUCUGCUACUUCCUACUCGCCUACUGCUCUUGUGACUGAUGAGGCUUUCACCUUUGUGAAGUUUAAAGCUGAAGAAACGAUGUAGCAUAAUUUGCAAAGGUUCCGGUGCUCCAAAAUCAUGAGAGCUCACACAUGUUCACAACAAAUCUGGGGGCUCGUGUUUGUUGUAACUGGAUUAACUUAUUUUGGAGCAUUCUUUUAUGCUGCUGUUAUUUCAAAGCUCGUGGCACCAUCAGAUAAUCCUCUCAUAUCAGCUAUACAACAAGACAGAUAUUAUUGCUUCUUGGUCCCAUUAUCACUGCCCAUAUUAGUUGUUGCUGUAUACUUUCAUUGGCUCAGCAUGAAACUCUUCAAGCAUGCAUGAUUACUUACCAUCUGCACGACUGCAUGUAAAUUCAAAUCAGCAUCGUGUUAUGUCAUCAUCAACAUCCAAACAAAGAAGAUCACAGCAUACAAACACCGGUAAAUCUGUGCUCCUCUUUAACAUUCUGUCAUUACUGAAAAUUACAACUCUAUUACUGCACAAGAAACUUGUAUUAUUAUGAAAGGUUCAAGUAUCCAGUAAGCAGAGCUAUAAAGGUCUGAUGGUUAAAGAUACUAGCAGGCCUGAAACCUGUAUUAGACAGUAAGAGGAGAGAUUUCAAUUUUGAACA